CGGGCCGCCGGGUGUCGGACCUCGAGACUCCCCUGUGUGUCCUGAGGGCGGCGGGAGCCGGCGGCGGGCGUCUGCGAGACCCGUUCUUCCUCUGCUGACCCUGGGCAGGGUCCCCAGCCUCUGAGCCUCUGUUUUCCUCCAAAAAAUGGGAAUAGAAGUGAAGCCAGGCUGUGGCUGCCAUGCCCAUCCACAUUGCCCAGGCUCACUUGAAGUUACCUGUGGCCCUGACACUAAGAAAGGGUCCCUCUGGGUGGAAACAGUGGUUCUCCACACACAGCAAGGUGGUAAACCCACCUUGUUGACGAACACCUUGGACAUCUAGAAAUCAAAGCAGACAAGAAGUCUACAUCCCAGGAGAGACUGUGAUGGGGUGUGAGCUCAGAGUCCUGAGGAUCUCUUGCAACACUGAAGGCAGCCCACAUCCUCAGGGUGUGAGCAGGAACAACAGGGAAUUUCUCCGGAUUGGGGUGGGGGCGGGAGGCAGGAGAGACAUCAAGAACUUGGAAUUAGGAACCCAAAACUCUAGUCUGGAUCCCAGAAGCCCACAUCUGCUAGACCAGGGCAAUCUGACAAAGGACCCUUUGUUGUUUAUUGUGUACAUUUUGACAAUUUUUGUCCAAUAAUAUACUGCACAAAUGAAAACUCAAAUAGCACAGAAGGACUUACAAAGAGCAACCACUCCCUGUCCCACCCCCGUUUCUUCUCUUCUGGCGGUUACCACCAAGGCUUUCCAGGAUGUGCUCACAUUGGCAUUAAUUCAUUGCCAAUUUAGGUAUUAUACAUUGACUUCACGUUUGAGAUCUGAGGGUUCAGCUGGAUGGUACUUAACCACUGCUCCCCACCAGGAACCUCACUACCUUUGGUUUUCCUGUGGUUCCCUUGCAGUUUUGCGUCAUGCAUUCUCACUCCUAUUCCAUCCGGCAUAAGCCAUAUACACCCUGACUCUCAAAUGCAUAAGCUCCUAGGCCCUUUCCCAGAGGGCCUUUCAGUGCCUCACCUGUAGGCUUAGCUCUAAAUGUUAUAAAGCAACCAACAAUGUUUAUCUUCCUAAGAUUAUGAAAAUAUCUUUAUGCACAGCCAGAUAGCAUGCUUUGGUUUCAUUUAUGCUAUUGUACUGUCAUUGCUUUUCCUGGAGUUUCUAAUGUAUUUUAAGGAUUUGCCUUCUUCACAUCAUUUCUUCUUCUUUUUUCCCAAAACUCUGCCAUAUUUGUUCUAUCAGUCCAGUCUUCCUUUCCCCCAGAAACAUCCCCUAGGAGCUCCCCAUGCCCCACUCCCAGCUGCUUCCCAGGCCACACCUCUGUUCUUGAAGGUACCCUGCUACAGGCAGGACCCACUUCCUCUGCUGUCUUCUUUUUUCUUGCUUUGCUUAAGUAAAAACUAAGUAACAUUUAAUGAAAGAAUACUGGCACAUGGGAUUUUUGAAUCUGUACACAUCUGAAAUGUUUUUCAUCUUGCCUUUAUACUUUAUGCUUUGAUAGUUUGGCUGGGUAGAGAAUUCUUGGUUCAAAGUCAUUUUCUUUCAGCAUUUGGAAGACACCACUCCAUCACUUUUUAGCACCCACAGUUAGUACCAAGAGAUCUUACUUCAAACUGAUUCUUAUUUCCAGAAAGAUCUUUUCUACAUCAUUGAUUCUCUGAAAUGUUAGGAAUGUUCAACAUGGGCAGAAAAAGCAGGGAAUUUCCCAGUGGGGAAUUUCCCAGAGUCCUCAGGUGUCUAAGCCUAGGUCUUCUCAUUCAUGACCCUUACAACUCUGGAUUUUUUCAGUCUGAACAGUUUGUUCUUUAAUUCUGGAAAACUCCCAAACUCUCUUUUUUAUAUAAUACCUUCCUUUUAUGGACUCCUAUUAGUCACAUAGCAGGCCUCAUACAUUGUUCCUCCAGGUCUUUUGUUUUUCCUCUUAGACAUCCUAUCUGUUUAUUGUCAUUCUCUUAUCUGGGAAGUUGUUUCAAUUUUAUCUGCCAAUCUUGCACUGAUUUGUUUUUUAAAUCUGCAAUUAUCUUCUAUUUCAACAGCUUUGUCUUAUCCUCUGAUUGUUCCCCCACCCUUUUUAAAAAAAAUCCUUUUCUUGCUUAACAGAAGCAAUAUGGCUUGAAUCUCUGAGAAUACAAAAUAGUGGGGGCUUUUUCAUUUCACACACACACACACACACACACACACACACACACACACACACACACAAGUUGCUCUUUUGUCUUCUGGAUAAGCUCCAUUUGCUUUGGUGUAUUUCUUUCCUUUUGUGUCCUUUCUUUGUUCCUGUUCACACAGCUUGGGCUUUCCAGUCACUGACAGGGCCCACCUCAUCAACUGGUCUCCAUUUACCCAUUCUCCGUUAAGCACAAAGCUGUCUGUAAACUCAGAACAUGUACACGGAGCUUGUUCACUUUGCCAGGCUGGGGAUGGUGGGAGGCAACCAUUAUGUUUUAGGGCCCCUGAAUGCAAGAAGACAGAGCGUGUUGCUUGGGAAACCAGUUCCCACAACUGGCUGAGUUCUUUCCAGACAUUUCACUGAAUGUCUUCAGAAAGCAAUGAUACUUGAGGGAAGGGAAGUGGAUGAGGUUUGGGGGUUUUUUGUGUUUUCUGUUGUUAUUAUUGCUGUUUCUGCUGGGAAAUAAAUUCCCGGGGACAGGAUAGUUUUCCUGGGAGAGAGAAGAGUGACCCUUCGAAAAAUACAGCAUGUCCUGCAAUCAUUUCAAAAUCCCUUACAAUAAGGAGCAGGGAAUUGAGUCAGAUAUUCCUGAGAGGUCAACAAAACCAGUGGAAUUCAAACCCAGGCAGAAAGCCAUUCUGGCCUUCCUAGGUCAUGAUGAUGCUAGUUCCAUAGAUAUUUUUGAUGAGCACAAAACCACAGUGCUUUCCAAUAUACAAAUAUUUUGCAUUCAAACGAAGCAGAACUCUUCAAUCACAUCAAAAUGGGAAUGUCAUUUGUCUUCAGAUGCAUGUUUCUGCCACUCCUGGUUUUCCCUUGCUUCUUGACCACUUCUCAAAUUACAUCUGAAACCAGAUAGUGUGCAAUCUUAAAGGGGGAAAUGCUUUAGUAGUCACCCAGUUUAAGUUUUAAUUUUAGAGAUGAAGAAACUGAAGCCCAAGGAAUUUUUUAAAGUGCAUUAUCAAAGGUCACAUGACCAGCUGGUGGGAGGAAUGCAAAAGGAUAGACAAGUCACAGAGUUGGGACGAGAAGACCUGCGUUUGGAUGGGCCAACCCAGUAUUGGCUGGGAUGUGUUUCUGGUAGAUUAAUUAAUAUAUGAACAUUCCUGAUGGCAGAAAUUUUGGAUGUUCUAAAUCCCAACAGAUUCUGCAGCAUGUCAAAAUUAUCGGAGCAAUACAAGCUUAAUAUUCCAGUUGUCAGGGAAAAUACCCCUGGGCACAUUUGCAUAAAUCCAUUCCAACCUUCAGUGUCUGAAUGUUUAGGUUUAACUUCCACCACCGGUUCACCAACACUCUUCAUGGAGCUCCCAGACCCGGUUGAGAAGUAUCUGGAAAGGGGUCAUAGAUUUGAAGAAUCAUUAUGUUUUAAGAUUCUUAAGAAGCCAUAGAGAUUAUCCAUCCUGAUAUCUUCAUUUUACAAAGGACAAAACAUAUAAAUAGCUUCACCGAAUUCACACAGUGAGCUAAAUGACAGAGGCCAGAGAUACCGUGGAUGGGGCCUUCCCAGGCUGAUACUUUUCCACCCACUCUGCCAGGUCACCAGCAGGAUGCCGUCCACAAGCCAGUCUUGUGGGUUUCAAACCAUAAGAAUCCAGAAUAAAUACUCGCUGAUGCAUUCCCCAGGACUGUUUAUUCCAGAUGCAUGUGGACCACUAAAAAAAAAAAAUGGAACCACAAACAUCUCUGCAUGUUAACAUGCUUCUAAAGGAGACAUGUGGCUGUAUGUUAAUUAAUGAUUUUUAAUAUCAUUCUGGUAGUGAUUAGCUCCUUUGAGUGCUUCUUAAGAUAUUAAAGAUGGAAAUUUCCUCAGACCAGCUGCUUUCAGAAAUUAUUUUCAUACCCUUUUCUCAGAAAUCUACUUCAGAUUCCAAAGCUUU